GUAUAGCAAAGAAAGAUUGCUUGAUAUACCAGAAUUUCUGCCACAAUUUUAUAAUUCUGCAACAAUUUUAUGUGUACAUAUACGCUAAUCGGUCAAGAAUGAUGGCUCCGCCGCCGCAUCCGCUCUCUGGGGCAAUAAAUAAUGCAAGUCUCUUUCCAAAUUUGUGGCAUAACUUUGGUGGAGAAGAAUUACUUUACAAUAAGUCAAUUUUCUUUCUAAAUAGUAAACUAAAACUCUUUGAAGAAGAAUGGAGGAAAGCCAUGGGGUCCCAAUGCUUCAUUCUCCAGCAUAGCUUGAAAGGCCUCUUCUAUCUCCAUAUCCGAGACAAUCUCACAAGCUCCUCAUUCUCCUGUGCUGAUAAUCUCCUGUACCAAUUCCAACACCUGAGGAACUGAAAGAUCUCCUGCCUCACGAUGUCCAAGUUCUCUGUUAAGGACAAGCGGAUGCCAAUUAGGCCUCUGGAGAUCCAAAUAGUCGGCCAUCAUUUCUAUCCACAAGGCAGCAGGAAAAAAAGUAGGAUAAUUCUGCAAGGUUUAUGGGAUUUUAGGUUUUUGUCUGCGGAUGUACCUGAAGAGGCCAGGGCCCUGAAGAUUGACCUGCUUGCGUAGCCAGAAUCCACUCCUCUGGCAGAAACUGGGUUUCAAGCUCUUCUAAAAGCUAGUGCUGAAUGGUUAAUGUAUUCCUUUAUCGCCAAUAGAAUCACAAAAAUAAACAAAAAAGGGGGAUGAUAUAGGCCCCACCAUGUUCCCAAGAACGAAAACGUACAGCCAAAACUGCAGCAAACGUGCCUUUCACCAACCUAGCAGUAAUGUUCGAUUCCCAAUUCCCAGGGCUUGUUGAGCUUUUGACUUGGACGCCCACAUUACAUCAGGCUCUCGCUAACCUGACCUCAAAAGUAGGCCAUCUCAGAUGGGAGUGGGCCUUGACGUCACNNN
rnacentral:lncRNA from 1 species